rnacentral:rRNA from 1 species
UCGAGAAUAAUUCGCAAUGGACGAAAGUCUGACGAUGCGACGCCGCGUGAACGAUGAAGGCCUUCGGGUUGUAACGUUCUGUUGCCCUGGAACAAGAGUUGUUAUUGAAUACGUAACAACGAUGAGCGUACAGGGAGAGGAAGCACCAGCUAAUUCCGUGCCAGCAGCUGCGGUAAUACGGAAGGUGCAAGCGUUAGUCGGAAUUAUUGGGCGUAAAGGGUGCGUAGGCUGUUCUGUAAGUCGGGUGUGAAAUUCCGGGGCUUAACCCCGGAGCUGCAUUCGAUACUGCAGGACUAGAGGAGUGGCGGAGAAAAUGGAAUUCCAUAUGUAGCGGUGAAAUGCGUAGAUAUAUGGAAGAACACCUGUGGCGAAAGCGAUUUUCUAGCUUCUUUCCUGACGCUGAGGCACGAAAGCAAGGGGAGCAAACAGG